rnacentral:rRNA from 1 species
AACGAACGCUGGCGGCGUGCCUAACACAUGCAAGUCGUGCGAGAAAGUUCCUUCGGGAGCGAGUAAAGCGGCGCACGGGUGAGUAACACGUAGGUAACCUGCCCCCCAGUCUGGAACAACUAGAGGAAACUCUAGCUAAUGCCGGAUGAGACCACGAUCCCUUCGGGGGUUGCGGCCAAAGAUGGCCUCUACUUGUAAGCUAUCGCUGAGGGAUGGGCCUGCGGGCCAUUAGCUUGUUGGUGAGGUAACGGCUCACCAAGGCUGUGAUGGCUAGCUGGUCUGAGAGGAUGACCAGCCACACUGGGACUGAGACACGGCCCAGACUCCUACGGGAGCAGCAGUGGGAAUAUUGCGCAAUGGGCGAAAGCCUGACGCAGCGACGCCGCGUGGGUGAUGAAGGCCUGGUCGUAA